AUGCUGCCAGGGAUUAUUUGGUCUCUUCAGAGGCUAUUUUUCAUAAAGCACACCUGUAAAGAAGCGAAGACCCUGGUUAUUUACAAUGGACACAGCAGCAGGUCCUGGCAUAGCAUCAUGUCUGGAGCUCCAGCCUUUGCUGCUGACUGCAAAAUAAGCACUCACUUUGGAAUGUUUUUCUCAUUUUGUAAAACAUCUUUGCCUAAAGAAAAUCAACAAACGAGUGACCCAGACAGUUGGGUUCGCUCACUCCAGCCUGGGAUGCUGAGGUCUGGCCUGGCUGUGCUGCUUCCCACAUUGAACACUGCUUGAAUGGAGUGGGGUACAGAACACCUCCAACCCAUACCCAAGCAUGGUGUGCAGGUGAAGGCUCCUCUCUCAGAAAGGCACCCGCUGUGCUGCCAGCUUGGAACGAGCAGCAGCCACUGAGCCAUGCUGCCCAUAUUUCCAGCAUUAAUCUCCUUGGCAUCCCUGCCCAAAACACAAACAUCUGUCCCACGUACCUCUUCUUGAACACCCGCCAUCAGCUGCUCCUCAGGCGGCCGCAUCUCUCCUGUCAGUCUGCAUUGCUCCCAAAGCUCACAGAUGCUCCUGGAGGUUCCUCCUCUCAACGGCAGCUUUUCCUACAAUGGCACCAACACAACAGACAGGUCGUCCUGAAAGCCCAGGGGCUGUAUCUGUGCAAGCACGUGGGACAUGCCCUGGACGGUUGUUUGGUGCUGAGGACAGCACUGAAGCACCGUGCAGUGCCAGCUCCGAGUCUCUCUGAGAGGAUCUUCCCAAAUUUCCUGGUCUUCACCAUCCUAAAGUUCUGCCUGUCUGGAAACCAGAGGUGUCUGCGAUGAAAGUGAGAAGGGGCAGAAGGAGAGAGGACAUUUUCCUUAGCCUAUUUUUUCCUAUAGACCUUGUUCUACCACAGAGAGCAGUUCUGGUGCGAUGAAAGAGAGCCUUACCUUGGGUGUUGUGUGGAUGCAUGGAUCAAUGAAUGGGUGGAGAGCAGGACAAAGAGCAAGCAAGAAAGGGUAGUUAUAAAAUAUUUAAAGGCUGUAAAUAUAAAACAAAGAGAAAGACAAGGAAAUAACCGUCUUUCUAGGGCCAUCUUUUUAUUUAGGCACCACACAAUGUAUACCAAUGCCUUCUGGCUGUGGGGACCCCCAGGCGAGUCUCAGCAGCUCUGGCCAGGCUCCUUGGCAGUCCCACCAAGAAACGCCCACUUCCAGCAGCCGAGCUGCUUGUGGCAUCCAGCCCAAGUGCAGGGAGGCUGGACAAAUACCACACAUUUUAGUUUACUUGAGUGGGCUAAUGCAGACAA
rnacentral:lncRNA from 1 species